ACUUAUCGCCUGUGCCACGCAGAGACCUCCUCCCCGCUCUGGUACGGGCGCUGCGCCGCGCGGACCUCAGACUGCGCUCCCUGGGCGGCAGCGCCCUGCAGAGCCGCUGUCGGGAGCUAGUCCUGGUAUUGCUCCUGUUUCCCGCGUCCCGCAGCCCCGGGGGCUCGCCUAUCCCCGGCGCCCUGAUUGAAACCAUCUGCUCUGCGCUCGGGCGCAGGAAGCGCGCCGCUCGCUCUCCUCCUUCCUUCCUUUCUUUCUUCUUCCCCUGCAAGCGGCUCCGCGCGGAAAGCAACCCAGCACUCGUCGGUUUUAAAUAAAAAGUACGCUCCUCUGGAGCAGAGGGAGGAGGAAGAUUGUCAGACGGGGGGCUCAGUUCUCCCCUCCUCUGCCCAUCGUAUCUCCCCGCAGACUGGCCGGUCCUGCCCGGCAUCGGCUGGCUGAUCCCCUUCAUCCCGCCUGGCCAGGACCCGGGUUUGGGGCCGGAGGCAGGCGGCGCCCACCCUUCUGCGGUGCUGGAGCCGAGCACUGCCGAGGGGAGCGGUGGCUUUGCUGCUCGGGUCUGCCCGGCAGCGGCGGGGCUGCAGCCCUGAUCUGGCGGCGCUGCGGGAGCAGGUUUCUUUGUUGGCUGCCGGGUGACUGGUUCCCAUUAAUCUCCCGCACUGGCCGUGGCCGUCUCCACUUCCUGCCUUUGCAUACUUCUCUCUCCCUCGAUCUCAGUCCCUUCCCUCCCCUUUCCCUCCCCCAUUUCUUUCUUUCCCUCUUCCCAGCUUCUCCAAAAAAGCUACAACCACCCGGGCUGCGGGACGGGGGCUUCAGCCAGCCGGCGGAAGGGAGCGCAUCCCUGCGCGCCUCGGUAAGGGCCGGGGAGCCGAGCUGCCAGAAACAUGAAAGAGUACAGGAAGUCCUGCAUGACCACAAUGAAUACCUGUGCUAAUUAAGUCACUGGCUGGUACUGGGAGA